GAAAGAAAAGACCAUGGAUCUACUAGUUGCAGAUUUCAGCAGUAAUGCCAAGGGGGCAAGAAGUGACCAGCAGAACAAUUAGGCCAUGGCAACAGAAGCCAACUACAACCCAUGUUCCAAUCUAUGACCUCCCUCUCCUGCUGGUACAAGGAUAUGGGCAAGAGCUGAUAAUCAACUGACUAAUGAGGAUUGACUUCUACAAUUGAUGAGCAUGGAAUUGGAUGUGCCUAAAUCAACAGAAGAGGGAUUUUGAUGUCAUCACACUGUAGCCCCAGAAGACAGAACGCUCAAAGGUGUCAAUGGGCAGAAUUUGUAGAUGACAUACAGCAUCCAAUGGAUUACUCCUAUUCAGGAUAAUGGAAGAAAAAGGUUCUUACCCUUCAGCAGAUAGCAUGCUGAGCCCUGAACAAAUUUUAUGACUUCUGGUGCAAAGCAGACCCAGUCAGCUUGCCUCUAGCAACUGGUUAAUACUACUCCAAGGAAACCACACUUAAAAUUCUUGGAAGUUCUUUUACCAUCACAUCAAGUUGCAUUUUGAAGCUGAAGCCCUUCGAAUCCAUUUAUACCUUGUGAUAUUCCCUUGCCAGAUUGUUGUUUUGUUUGCUAGACAUGAUUUUAGGAUUUUGUCAAGGAAGCCAUCUAUGACCCCAAUCAAUCAAAACCAUAAGGAUCAAGGCUGGAAGAACCUAUUCCUUAGAGCAAAGGAUGCAAUGUCAAGCAAGUUGUGAUACCUCAACUAUCUACAAUUUAACACCAAGGAAAGAACACUGUUUGGAGAAAUGAGAAAGAUUAUCAUCAGUGUCUUUCAGAAGUCAUCAAAAGAAGAAAAGGAGAAAAGAGAGGAGAAAGCAGAAAGAUCUGGAGUCUGGGAAGUUCAAGAGCAUGGCACCAACAUCUGGCAAGGGCUUUCAUUCUGCAUCAUCUCAUGGAGGAAAAUAAAAAGGCAAGUGAGUGUGAGAGAGCAAGAGAGCAAGAAAAGGAAAGGGGGUCAAACUCACCCUUUUAUCACGAAAACACUCUAUCGAUAACAGCAUUGAUCCAUUCAUGAGGGAAGACCCCUCAUGUCCUAGUCACCUCUUAAAGGUCCAACCUUUCAACACUGGUUGCAUUGGGGAUUAAGUUUCAACACAUGCUUUUUGGGUGGCAUAAUUAAACCAUAACACACUUGUUAUUAGGUCAGGAGAUUUCCCAAGGUCAGAACAGUGACAGAGCUAAGCCCUGAACUUUUGUGACCUUCAAACCAGGAUUGUUUCCACAAUUUGUCAUACAUGGAUAUUUAGAACAUACUUUAGAAGUGGAGGAAAGAAUAAAAUAAUUUGAAGAUGGAGUACCCAAAA
rnacentral:lncRNA from 1 species